rnacentral:lncRNA from 1 species
AGAAAAAUUGAUCUCAAGAGUUUGACCCACUUACGCCUAGUGUUCCAUUAUUGGAAUGCUAAGCAUGUGGGAGUUAUUUAUAUCCUACUGCUCAAGAUCAUCACCAAGAUCUGAUUGCAAAAAUUGCAACCUCAGGCAUAAAUGGGUCAAGGUGGUAAUCACAUACUCCUUAGAGAGUGAGCUACUCCCUGAAAUUGCUGGCAAAACCCUGUGUUUAUGUACAUAUGUGUGCUUUUCCCACCUUAGGGAUAGAGUUUAUCUCUUUCAACAGGUUUUCAACAGCUUAAAAACCACUACCAUGGGCGGACAUGGCAGCCCAUGCAAAGUCACAAAGGUGUAAUGUAGAGAACAGCACACUCAUGGGGUCAACAGUGAGAUCAAUGAGAACACAGAACAGAUUUCUAUGGAGGACAGUGGGAAAUGAAGCUAAAUAAAUGUCACCCAACAUCAGAGGGAGCACCCAGGACGGGGGGUGGGGCAGAGGUCUGAGGCUGAUUCAAUACAGCAUAAAGGACUAAUUAGUACAAGUAUAGUGAACAACAUCAAGUUAAACAGAUGUGGACUUUGCUCUCAGGUGGCUACUCCAUCAAAUGCAGUUGGUGGACAGGCAAGAAGAACCCAGUUAGCCUGCAGAGAGGCUGUGGGUUGGCAGUUCAUUGUGUUAAGAAUAGAAGGGCUGACCAGAUGGUCAACUCUUUUUUUUAAUCUUUGCUUUUUAAAAAUUGAUCCAAAUAUUUGUACUUAUUUAUGGGGUAGCUAUUAUAUUUCGUUACAUGCAUAGACUGUGUAAUGGUCACAUCGGAGUAUUUGAAGUGUCCAUAACCAUUAGUCUUUAUCAUUUCUAUGUGUGGAACAUCUCAGGUCCUCUCUUCUAGGUAUUUUGAAAUACACAAUACCUUGUUAACUAUAGCAAAUAACCAGCUCUUUAAUCAUUCCUUGGUCAAAUCUCCAUUUCAUAUACCCCUCCAAACCAAAACAACAUUGACUAAAUCUGCCUCUGGCCCUGUGAAAGGCCAGCCAAACAGCAAGAGGCCAGCACAAGACAUAGCUUCCUCUUCUAGAGCUGAGAAUUCACUUUUGAUUGUACUGUGGGGCACAUAGAACAACAUCGAACUCCCAGGUGAUGGGAGGGAGAGUUCCUAGGACUAGGGAAACAGGGCCUAUGGAUGUGAGGUGUGUGAGGAGGUGGGGUGGGGAGGUAAUGGUUUUCACUGGAUUCCUUUUUAUAUUUUAUUUAGAUUAAGUUCUGCUCAGCAGGGUGAUUUCUUAAUUAGAGCUGCCCAGCCAAGCAGACCUCCAGCUCAAACCCCUGUGCUGCCUUCUAAGGUUUCAUGAGGGACCUUGUCCUGCCUUAUUUCCUGAGUUCUAAUAUUUGAAUAGUAUGCAGUGGAUUUCAAUGGGAGGAAAAGACAUGUAAUUUAAUCAUUGUUAUUAGAUUUUGCCUGUGGAUGGGGAGAGGAGGGGGAAGCAGGAGGGACAUGGGUCCUUUCUUUGUUAAUUUUCUUUUUCUUUUUCUCUACCUUUCUUCCAGUGGUCAAAGGAAGAGGAGGAUCAAUGGCCUUUUUUCCUCCCCCCAACCUUUUUUUUUUUUUUUUUUUUUAAACAAAGAAGCAAAGUGAGAACAUUAAGCCCGAAAGAGAACUGUGUUCAUUGCAGGACUUUUUGAGGUCUGGUUAAGCCAUUUAUAUAAAGAAAUUACACAGUUCCUCUUUGGUAACCUCAAUCCUGAAAGUUAGUGUGACAGGCCUACAGCUUUUUGUUCUCUUCAUCACUCCAGAAGUUGCAGACUGCGCUCAGCAAGACCUCACAACAUGGAGGAAAAUUAAAGAGAUAAGUGGUCCAUGGAGUAUCCCCUUACCCCACCAUAAAUUGGCAUAAUUUUGUGCACAAUCCAGGGAGAAGAAAAAGAAGACCAGAAGCUUGCAAACCAUUCGAGAGAAGGAAGGGAGCUUUGUCAUGUUGCCAUCUGAGGGACCAUUUCAGUAGAGCCUUUUAAGACACAUGUUUUGGAAUACAGUCAAAUGCGUGCUGCUGUAUGACCAGCCUAUUUG